rnacentral:rRNA from 1 species
GCGGCGUAUUAGCUAGUUGGUGAGAUAAUAGCUCACCAAGGCGAUGAUACGUAGCAGACCUGAGAGGGUAAUCUGCCACAAUGGGGCUGAGACACGGCCCAUACUCCUACGGGAGGCAGCAGUAGGGAAUCUUCCACAAUGGACGAAAGUCUGAUGGAGCAACGCCGCGUGAGUGAAGAAGGGUUUCGGCUCGUAAAACUCUGUUGUUAGAGAAGAACGACUGUGAGAGUAACUGCUCACAGUGUGACGGUAUCUAACCAGAAAGUCACGGCUAACUACGUGCCAGCAGCCGCGGUAAUACGUAGGUGGCAAACGUUGUCCGGAUUUAUUGGGCGUAAAGGGAGCGCAGGCGGUUUAUUAAGUCUGAUGUGAAAGCCUUCGGCUUAACCGGAGAAGUGCAUCGGAAACUGAUAAACUUGAGUGCAGAAAAGGAUAGUGGAACUUCAUGUGUAGCGGUGAAAUGCGUAGAUAUAUGAAGGAACACCAGUGGCGAAGGCGGCUAUCUGGUCUGUAACUGACGCUGAGGCUCGAAAGCAUGGGUAGCAAACAGGAUUAGAUACCCUGGUAGUCCAUGCCGUAAACGAUGAAUGCUAGGUGUUGGGAGGUUUCCGCCUCUCAGUGCCGCAGCUAACGCAUUAAGCAUUCCGCCUGGGGAAUACGACCGCAAGGUUGAAACUCAAAGGAAUUGACGGGGACCCGCACAAGCGGUGGAGCAUGUGGUUUAAUUCGAUGCUACGCGAAGAACCUCACCAGGACUUGACAUCAUCUGCCAAUCUAAGAGAUUAGACGU